AACUGUAUAUAAGAAAGCACUGACACUGUUGAUCAGGGUCCAGAAUUGGUCAGUGAGGCUAAAUUGAGACAUAGAUUGUGCUUCCAUCACAGUAAAUGCAUUGCAGUGGUGAUAAUGAGACUUGUAACAUUU